AUAGGAUCCUGCUUCUGUGUUAUUUUAAGUAGCCUGAAGUGAUCCCAUAGGACCUGGCUACUCCUGGACAGUGGCUGAAAUAGCAAGUCUCCUGUCUACCUUCUCUGUCUGUGGAGCUCUGGACCCUGGAAGUGAUUCCUUCGAGAAUUUACCAACCAACCUCAGGACUGCAGUUGGAUUCUACCAAAGAGAGGAGUUACAUCAGAGAAGAUGGGAGGAUGAAAUGGAGGCCUUUAUUCCCAUCAUCCCUGCAGGGUAGAAAUGGUCCCUGACACCUAAGUGCUAUGCCUCCGCAGAGAAGCCCUGCCCCAUAGCCCCUACCUACUGCUUCUGGAGCCUGACACCUCCCAGGGCCCCCCUCAGUCUAGGGACUGUGGUUUCCUGGGUUGCUGACCCCAGUGGGCUUACCAUCCCUAGUUGGCUUUUCUUUGCCCUGCUGUAUCUUUCUAAAUAGUUUCUUUAUUAAACAACUUCCUAAUUA